GGGUCCGGACACACUGAGGAUUGACAGAUAUACGCUCAUUGCAGUGCUUCGGCGCCGCAUUUGAGCUGAAAGAUGCUAGUUCUUUCAUGAUUAUGUGAUAGGUGGUGCAUGGCCGUUCUUAGUUCGUGGAGUGAUCUGUCUGCUUAAUUGCGUAUCAAUAAUAGAGACCUAGUAUACGCGCGGAUUUCGUGUGGUAGUGACCCCCUGUUCGCAGGCGUGUGUCGCACACGCGUAAGCGCACUGGUCUCAGAUAGCAACGAACGUGACCGUAUUCUAUUGUUGCAGUGAAUAUGUGUGCCUUCGGGCAUACGACCCACUGCUUAGUGUAUGUACGUGCUUCGGUGCGCACAAUACACAUUAAAACUAUAGAGACGGCUGUUUUCUUCUUUAAACCAGAGGAAGGAUACGGCAAUAACAGGUCUGUGAUGCCCUCAGAUGUUCCGGGCUGCACACGUGCUACAAUGAUCAUUGCACUGUGCAUCUAACCCAAUGUGCGUGGACGCCGCAUGUAUGUACUCCUUGUGGGUACACGCAUUGCUGAGCGACCACGUCGAACCUACUUCGAAAGUAAAAUUUCUCUGUGGGU
rnacentral:rRNA from 1 species